CCAUGGCUGGCCCAGAAUUCACAGGGUAAACCAGGAUAACCUAGUGCUCACUGAGAUCUACCUGCCUGUGUAAUGGCAUGCCUAGAAGAAUCUUGAACUUGAAUUGAUGCCUGGCUGGAGACUCAUGGGAUACACUGUGCUACUUCCCACCUGGUCUCUCUCCCAGCCUCCCCCUUCUCUUCUUUACCUCGGCUGUUAUUUCUUUUCCAUCGAACCCAGGACAGAUCUUUUUCAAGGAGACAGGGUUUUUCUAACCAGAGUGCAGCCUGGGAAAGUACGACCCUGAAACAUCCCUUGCUUGUCAGGCAUUGUGGUAGACUAAAGAGAUAGUGACUCAAAUAUGUCCACCCCCACAGCAGUAUUGCCUCGCCCAUUCCCAAUGCUCUCUUUCAUAAAUGGCACGAACAGCAAGCACAUCUGAUUGACUUUAUAUCUCACUAUUGGUGCAACAGUCAGUUAUUAGGCAACUGAACCCCCCAAACUCUUUAACUUUUGGUUCUCUGUCUGUCUCUGUCUCUAUCUCUGUCUCUGUCUCUCUGUCUCUGUCUCUGUCUCUGUCUCUGUCUCUCUCUCUCUCUCUCUCUGUGUGUGUGUGUGUGUGUGUGUGUGUAUUGACAUGAGUGGGUAGAUAUAUGUCGAGGCAGAGGUAGACACUGGGAUGGCUUCCUCAAUCAGUACCCUGCCAUUUUAUUUUAUUUUAUUUUAUUUUAUUUUAUUUUAUUUUAUUUUAUUUUACUUUUGAGGAAGGAUCUCUCACAGAACCUGGAGCUCACCUGUUUUGAGCUAGACAGCCAGUGAACCACCAGGAUGUGCUGGUCUUGUGCUCCCCAACCUCCCAACACUCAUGCCAACCCAGAGUUGGAGUACAGACAUGUGCUACCAUACUCUGCUCUUAUGGACCAUUUUUCCAGCUUCUGUCUCUUCUGAUUAACGUUCUGCCCAUUGUAGCCACGUAUGAUGUUCCUGAAACACUUGAUUUGACCUAUUUUAUCUACCAUUGUUGUGUAUUUAUUUGGUUGACUUAAUAAACAGUCUUAGGCUCUCUGGA